UCAAAUUUGAGCUUCUUUUUCACCCACAGCCAAGAGACCCGUGUCACCUUACAGUGGCUACAAUGGGCAGCUGCUGACGAGUGUGUACCAGCCCACUGAGAUGGCCCUGAUGCACAAAGGCCCGUCCGAAGGCGCUUAUGACGUCAUCCUCCCACGGGCCACCGCCAACAGCCAGGUGAUGGGCAGUGCCAACUCAACCCUGCGAGCUGAAGACAUGUACGUGGUCCAGAGCCACCAGGUGGCCACACCACCGAAAGACAGCAAGAUCUCUCAGGAUCAGUCCCCGAAAAGCAAAACGAGAUGGUAGAUGCCCUCUUCCCUGGACCACACCUCAUCCGGAUACCCUCAUUGCUCUGCACCCAGCUGAGCAGGGCUCAGCAGUUUACCCACCUUUGUCCUUGGAGCUGGGAGGGACCAGAGGCUACCAAUCGGAA